UCCGUAGGUGAACCUGCGGAGGGAUCAUUACAGAGUUGCAAAACUCCCUAAACCAUUGUGAACGUUACCUAUACCGUUGCUUCGGCGGGCGGCCCCGGGGUUUACCCCCCGGGCGCCCCUGGGCCCCACCGCGGGCGCCCGCCGGAGGUCACCAAACUCUUGAUAAUUUAUGGCCUCUCUGAGUCUUCUGUACUGAAUAAGUCAAAACUUUCAACAACGGAUCUCUUGGUUCUGGCAUCGAUGAAGAACGCAGCGAAAUGCGAUAAGUAAUGUGAAUUGCAGAAUUCAGUGAAUCAUCGAAUCUUUGAACGCACAUUGCGCCCGCCAGCAUUCUGGCGGGCAUGCCUGUUCGAGCGUCAUUUCAACCAUCAAGCCCCCGGGCUUGUGUUGGGGACCUGCGGCUGCCGCAGGCCCUGAAAAGCAGUGGCGGGCUCGCUGUCGCACCGAGCGUAGUAGCAUACAUCUCGCUCUGGUCGCGCCGCGGGUUCCGGCCGUUAAACCACCUUUUAACCCAAGGUUGACCUCGGAUCAGGUAGGAAGACCCGCUGAACUUAAGCAUAUCAAUAAGCGGAGGA
rnacentral:rRNA from 3 species